rnacentral:rRNA from 1 species
UACGUAGGGAGCGAGCGUUGUCCGGAUUCAUUGGGCGUAAAGAGCUCGUAGGCGGCUUGGUAAGUCGGAUGUGAAACCUCCAGGCUCAACCUGGAGUCGCCAUCCGAUACUGCCAUGGCUAGAGUCCGGUAGGGGCCCACGGAAUUCCUGGUGUAGCGGUGAAAUGCGCAGAUAUCAGGAGGAACACCGAUGGCGAAGGCAGUGGGCUGGGCCGUUGCUGACGCUGAGGCGCGAAAGCGUGGGGAGCAAACAGG